UCGCAGCCCCGGACCAAGGCGCCCGCCGGAGGACCAACCUAAAACUCUUAUUGUAUACCCCCUCGCGGGUUUUUUUAUAAUCUGAGCCUUCUCGGCGCCUCUCGUAGGCGUUUCGAAAAUGAAUCAAAACUUUCAACAACGGAUCUCUUGGUUCUGGCAUCGAUGAAGAACGCAGCGAAAUGCGAUAAGUAAUGUGAAUUGCAGAAUUCAGUGAAUCAUCGAAUCUUUGAACGCACAUUGCGCCCGCCAGUAUUCUGGCGGGCAUGCCUGUCCGAGCGUCAUUUCAACCCUCGAACCCCUCCGGGGGGUCGGCGUUGGGGAUCGGCCCUCCCUUAGCGGGUGGCCGUCUCCGAAAUACAGUGGCGGUCUCGCCGCAGCCUCUCCUGCGCAGUAGUUUGCACACUCGCAUCGGGAGCGCGGCGCGUCCACAGCCGUUAAACACCCAACUUCUGAAAUGUUGACCUCGGAUCAGGUAGGAAUACCCGCUGAACUUAAGCAUAUCAAUAAGCGGAGGAAAAGAAACCAACAGGGAUUGCCCCAGUAACGGCGAGUGAAGCGGCAACAGCUCAAAUUUGAAAUCUGGCCCCUAGGGUCCGAGUUGUAAUUUGUAGAGGAUGCUUUUGGUGAGGUGCCGCCCGAGUUCCCUGGAACGGGACGCCACAGAGGGUGAGAGCCCCGUCUGGCUGGCCGCCGAGCCUCUGUAAAGCUCCUUCGACGAGUCGAGUAGUUUGGGAAUGCUGCUCAAAAUGGGAGGUAUAUGUCUUCUAAAGCUAAAUAUUGGCCAGAGACCGAUAGCGCACAAGUAGAGUGAUCGAAAGAUGAAAAGCACCUUGAAAAGAGGGUUAAAUAGUACGUGAAAUUGUUGAAAGGGAAGCGCUUGUGACCAGACUUGGGCGCGGCGGAUCAUCCGGGGUUCUCUCCGGUGCACUUCGCCGCGUCUAGGCCAGCAUCAGUUCGUCGCGGGGGAAAAAGGCUUCGGGA
rnacentral:rRNA from 1 species